GCUCCAUUUAAUUUUUAUCAUGAUAACAUAAGAUUUAGCCGGAAUACCUUCCGCCGACUUCAUUAUCUGUUUUAAAACGCUUGGAUUCAUUUUUAUUGUAAUUACGGGCAUUGUCAACAUUUUUACCAUUUACACCGCGCUUGGGUAUGCCGGUCUGCCCAGUGUGCGUUACCGACCCUUCGACCACGUCUCGUCCUUUUUCUUUCCGUGGCCAUCUCGGUGGAGACAGCGCAACAUUUCGGGAUCAUUUCGGACAGUUUUCAGCCUGUUCCCUUGGAGUUGCUGGGCCCUGCAGACCACUGUAGGUCUCGCAACCCGUGGUGUCUGGGGUUUUCUUUCCAUUGACGAAUAAAUUAGAGGUGAUUAUUUGAUGACCUGUGUUACAAGCUGAUCCAAUCCAUCCCUUACCGGGAGACCAGUCUCCCCCCUCCGGAUCGUCAGGGUCCGCCCCCAGCGGGCGCGCAAGUGCUGCCGCUACAU